UGGUAGUCCACGCCGUAAACGAUGUCAACUAGCCGUUGGGAGCCUUGAGCUCUUAGUGGCGCAGCUAACGCAUUAAGUUGACCGCCUGGGGAGUACGGCCGCAAGGUUAAAACUCAAAUGAAUUGACGGGGGCCCGCACAAGCGGUGGAGCAUGUGGUUUAAUUUGAAGCAACGCGAAGAACCUUCCCAGGCCUUGACAUCCAAUGAACUUUCCAGAGAUGGAUUGGUGCCUUCGGGAACAUUGAGACAGGUGCCGCAUGGCUGUGGUCAGCUCGUGUCGUGAGAUGUUGGGUUAAGUCCCGUAACGAGCGCAACCCUUGUCCUUAGUUACCAGCACGUAAUGGUGGGCACUAUAAGGAGACUGCCGGUGACAAACCGGAGGAAGGUGGUGAGGACGUCAAGUCAUCAUGGCCCUUACGGCCUGGGCUACACACGUGCUACAAUGGUCGGUACAGAGGGUUGCCAAGCCUCGAGGUGGAGCUAAUCCCACAAAACCGAUCGUAGUCCGGAUCGCAGUCUGCAACUCGACUUUGUGAAGUCGGAAUCGCUAGUAAUCGCGAAUCAGAAUGUCGCGGUGAACCGUUCCCGGGCCUUGUACACACCGCCCGUCACACCAUGGGAGUGGGUGCACCAGAAGUAGCUAGUCUAAC
rnacentral:rRNA from 1 species